AGGACGAACGCUGGCGGCGUGCCUAAUACAUGCAAGCCGAACGGCUUUUCUAUGGAAGCUUGCUUCCACUGAGAAGAUAGUGGCGAACGGGUGAGUAACACGUGGGUAACCUGCCCAUAAGAGGGGGAUAACAUCCGGAAACGGGUGCUAACACCGCAUAGUUUUCUUGGUCGCAUGAUCGGGAAAGGAAAGACGGCCUUUGUGCUGUCGCUUAUGGAUGGACCCGCGGCGUAUUAGUUAGUUGGUGAGGUAACGGCUCACCAAGACGAUGAUACGUAGCCGACCUGAGAGGGUGAUCGGCCACAUUGGGACUGAGACACGGCCCAAACUCCUACGGGAGGCAGCAGUAGGGAAUCUUCCGCAAUGGACGAAAGUCUGACGGAGCAACGCCGCGUGAGUGAAGAAAAGGUUUUCGGAUCGUAAAACUCUGUUGUCAGAGAGGAACAAGUUGGAGAGUAACUGCUCCAGCCUUGACGGUAUCUGACCAGAAAGCCACGGCUAACUACGUGCCAGCAGCCGC
rnacentral:rRNA from 1 species